UUCUCCAAAAUGUUCAAUUACUGCCAUAAAAUAAUUUCCCAAAUUUCUCCGCCAAAAUAUUUCUACACUUUCCUUUUAACUCUUCUUCUCCGUGGAAACAAACACUCUCAUCGCCGACAAAGACCAACCUUAUCCCACUUCUCAUUCACGACAAAUUACCAGAGCUUCUCUUAAUGGAACUUCUCUUUUCCAAAACUCUGUUGCAAUAUAUUGUUCUUCACUAGUGCGAUUUUGAUUGGUUUAUGGGGGUAGGUUAGAGUUUAUGUUUUCAAAUCGAUUUGGAGUUUAUUUCUUAUAUCAAUCUCUGCGUCUUCAGUCAAAUUAGGGUUCAUAUUCUCAAGUUAAUCUGGGUUCAUUUCUUCUAUCAAUUUAUGUGUCUUCAGUCAGCUUAUGGUUUAUAUUUCAAAAUCGAGCUGGGACUAAGUCUCUGCGUUUUCAUAUCUUCUUUAAGUCUUUUCUUAAACUAUGUGAUUCAUUGAUUUAGGGCUCUAGUAUGCAUCCACCAAGAAAAGGCAAUUUCCCUACAAAAGCUACUAUUGGACAAGGCGCAACAACUUUCGUGAAGAACACAUCUCAGGCAGAUCAUGUAGAUGGGUGAGGAGCCAGCAAUACUGACUUAGAGGGGAAGAUCCACAUGAAUACUGUUGAAUAAAGCAGUCAAGCCACACAAAAGAUGUUUGUUUGGACGUGGAACAACACAAAUGGAGAACAAUUAUCACAUUGAUCCACCAGGCCGUCGUUCUUACUCGUCAAUCUUGUUUAGAGAAGGAGUUGAUUAGUUUGACUGAAACUGUCUACUUGAUGAGCUAGCAGCUCACUGCUUUGUGUGAAGCUAGAGGAGUGGCAAGCACUGAUGCAACUACCAAUCCUUCUCCAUCCUCACCUCCUAGCACCAAUGAGCAGAGAAUCUAGAUGAUGUUGAUGACUUUCUACAAUCAACUGAAGACAUAACAACUGGAAUCUUUUGUGUUUGGUUUGAACUUUUAUUAUGUCAUUAGUUUCCACCUAUUGGAUUUAAUAUUUUGUUUUCUACUAGUAACGAAUGCAAUGUUUCUAUUCUGUUUUGGGAAUUUCAGAUUUUUUUAUGCUGUAAUGUUUUAAAAUCAAUUUGGAUAAUACAAAACGAAAAUCAA